GACGAACGCUGGCGGCGUGCUUAACACAUGCAAGUCGAACGGAAAGGCCCUGCUUGCAGGGUACUCGCGUGGCGAACGGGUGAGUAACACGUGGGUGAUCUGCCCUGCACUUCGGGUUAAGCCUGGGCAACUGGGCCUAAUACCGAAUAGGAGCCAUUUUUAGUGUGAUGGUUGGAAAGUUUUUUCGGUGUAGGAUGAGCUUGCGACCUAUCGGCUUGUUGGUGGGGUAAUGGCCUACCAAGGCGGCGACGGGUAGCCGGCCUGUGAGGGUGGACGGCCACACUGGGACUGAGGUGCGGCCCAGACUCCUACGGGUGGCAGCAGUGGGGAAUAUUGAACGAUGGGCGCCAGCCUGAUGCAGCGACGCCUCGUGGGGGAUGACGGCCUUAGGGUUGUAAACUCAUUUCGCUAGGGACGAAGCUUUUUGUGACGGUACCUAGAUAAGAAGCACCGGCUAACUACGUG
rnacentral:rRNA from 1 species